GAUGAACGCUGGCGGCGUGCCUAAUACAUGCAAGUAGAACGCUGAAGGAAGGAGCUUGCUCUCUCCGGCUGAGUUGCGAACGGGUGAGUAACGCGUAGGUAACCUGCCUGGUAGCGGGGGAUAACUAUUGGAAACGAUAGCUAAUACCGCAUAACAGUAGAUGUUGCAUGAUAUCUACUUAAAAGGUGCAAUUGCACCACUACCAGAUGGACCUGCGUUGUAUUAGCUAGUUGGUGAGGUAACGGCUCACCAAGGCGACGAUACAUAGCCGACCUGAGAGGAUGAGCGGCCACACUGAGAGGGAGACGCGGCCCAGACUGCUGGAGGAGGCAGCAGGAGGGAAGCGGCGGCAAGGGGCGGAAGGGUGAGCGAGAAACGCCGCGGGAGUAAGAAAGGAUUUCGGAGCGUAAAGCACGGUUGUAAGAGAAGAACAAGGGUGAGACUGGAAAGUAGAGACUGUGACGGUAUCUUACGAGAAAGGGACGGCUAACUACGUG
rnacentral:rRNA from 1 species